UUAGAGUUUGAUCCUGGCUCAGGAUGAACGCUGGCGGCGUGCUUAACACAUGCAAGUCGAACGAAGCACCUUAUUCUGAUUUCUUCGGAAUGAAAAAUUUGGUGACUGAGUGGCGGACGGGUGUGUAACGCGUGGGUAACCUGCCUCAUACAGGGGGAUAACAGUUAGAAAUGACUGCUAAUACCGCAUAAGACCACAGCACCGCAUGGUGCAGGGGUAAAAACUCCGGUGGUAUGAGAUGGACCCGCGUCUGAUUAGGUAGUUGGUGGGGUAACGGCCUACCAAGCCGACGAUCAGUAGCCGACCUGAGAGGGUGACCGGCCACAUUGGGACUGAGACACGGCCCAAACUCCUACGGGAGGCAGCAGUGGGGAAUAUUGCACAAUGGGGGAAACCCUGAUGCAGCGACGCCGCGUGAGCGGUGAAGUAUUUCGGUAUGUAAAGCUCUAUCAGCAGGGAAGAAAAUGACGGUACCUGACUAAGAAGCACCGGCUAAAUACGUGCCAGCAGCCGCGGUAAUACGUAUGGUGCAAGCGUUAUCCGGAUUUACUGGGUGUAAAGGGAGCGUAGACGGAGUGGCAAGUCUGAUGUGAAAACCCGGGGCUCAACCCCGGGACUGCAUUGGAAACUGUCAAUCUAGAGUACCGGAGAGGUAAGCGGAAUUCCUAGUGUAGCGGUGAAAUGCGUAGAUAUUAGGAGGAACACCAGUGGCGAAGGCGGCUUACUGGACGGUAACUGACGUUGAGGCUCGAAAGCGUGGGGAGCAAACAGGAUUAGAUACCCUGGUAGUCCACGCCGUAAACGAUGACUACUAGGUGUCGGGCAGCAAAGCUGUUCGGUGCCGCAGCAAACGCAAUAAGUAGUCCACCUGGGGAGUACGUUCGCAAGAAUGAAACUCA
rnacentral:rRNA from 1 species